rnacentral:rRNA from 1 species
UACGUAGGGUGCAAGCGUUGUCCGGAAUUAUUGGGCGUAAAGAGCUCGUAGGCGGUUUUUCGCGUCUGCUGUGAAAACUCGGGGCUUAACCCCGGGCCUGCAGUGGGUACGGGCAGACUAGAGUGCGGUAGGGGAGACUGGAAUUCCUGGUGUAGCGGUGAAAUGCGCAGAUAUCAGGAGGAACACCGGUGGCGAAGGCGGGUCUCUGGGCCGUAACUGACGCUGAGGAGCGAAAGCGUGGGGAGCGAACAGG